ensembl:lncRNA
GUGAUCUCAGACACUUCAAGGUGUGUGUUAGGUGAGAGUGUGUGUUCUGAGACACUACAGGGUGUGUGUUAGGUGAGAGUGUGUGUUCUGAGACACUACAGGGUGUGUGUUAGGUGAGAGUGUGUGAUCUGAGACACUACAGGGUGUGUGUUAGGUGAGAGUGUGUGAUCUGAGACACUACGGGUGUGUGUUAGGUGAGAGUGUGUGAUCUGAGUCACUACGGGUGUGUGUUAGGUGAGAGUACAUGAUCUGAGACACUACACGGUGUGUGUUAAAGCAGAGUGUGUGAUCUGAUAGUACGGGUUGUGUUUGGUGAGAGUGUAUGUUCUGAGACACUACGGGGUGUGUG